CUGACACGACCACCUGUGUCACCUGACACGGGUCGUGUCAUGAGGAAGGAAAAACAACAACAAGUAAUGCCCAAGACAGUGGCCUAACACGACCACCCAUAUCACCUGACACGGGCCGUGUCAGGUCGCCUGGGGCGUGUCAGCAAGGAAACAACAAGGCAGAGAGCUGACAUGGUCGCCUGUGUCAGCCCAAAAUGCUAAUUUUCCAGUUUUC
rnacentral:lncRNA from 1 species